GGCCCUCUAUAAAUCUAAUUCACAAUACAAAAUUGUAUUACUCUCAUCAUACACUACUCUUUGUUGUAUAUCACAUAUGGCAAAUAUUCUACCAAUUUCAAUAAAUUACCACAAGCCAAAACUAGUAGUUCCAUCAAGUGUAACAUCUCAUGAGACAAAACGUCUUUCUGAAAUAGAUGAUCAAGGGUUUAUUCGACUCCAAAUCCCCAUACUAAUGUUUUACAAAUACAAUUCUUCAAUGAAAGGUAAAGAUCUAGCAAAAAUUAUCAAAGAUGGAUUAUCUAAAACACUUGUGUUUUACUAUCCAUUAGCUGGUAGACUCAUUGAAGGGCCUAAUAAAAAGCUUAUGGUAAAUUGCAAUGGUGAAGGAGUCUUGUUUAUCGAAGGUGAUGCUAAUAUAGAGCUUGAAAAAUUAGGUGAAUCUAUUAAGCCACCAUGUCCAUACUUGGAUUUACUACUUCAUAAUGUUCAUGGUUCUGAUGGAAUUAUUGGUUCUCCUCUUUUGUUAAUUCAGGUGGAGACGCGGAUAUUUUGCUCUCUUUUAAGGAGAUGCAAGCUCACUGCGAUAUAAUCUACACCGAUUCAGCAGUAUCGCUCUUGACUUGUCUCCUCCAGAAUACAACAUCCCAACGAUGUGUACAACUCAAGCAACGUCGGAUUAAUUGAAAAGUCAAAAGUUUCACGAAAAGAACGUCUUCCUUAAACAUAUACACAGUGAAUAUAGAUAGUUGAAUACUUCGGAAUAUUUUCUUUGUAGUCUCAAUUCUCUCUUUCACUACACUAACCUCAAUAUAAAUUUACAUUAGGUCUCAUCUUCUUGAGAUACUUCACAAAGACAGAAACACCAAUAUUUUAUAGCUGAAGAAAUCUUCCAUAUAAUUAAGGUGGAAUGAGGGGUAGUAAUGUCGAUCGGUAGAUAAAUGUGAUAGAUAUUACAUGAGUUCCAAGAACAAAUAGUCAUCUUCUACCAUACGUUAUACCACUAACUGAUGCACUUAAUAUUUUAAUAAUCAAAUGAAUAUAGACCAAGCAUUCUACCUUCUUUAUUCAAGUUAUAUAUUAAUCAUACUCUUUCUAUAAAUGGUUAAAUUCUUAGACUAAUAUAUAUAUAUAUAUAUACCUCUUUGAAUAGGUGACUCGUUUUACUUGUGGUGGAUUUGCUGUUGGAUUUAGAUUUAAUCACACAAUGAUGGAUGCUUAUGGCUUCAAAAUGUUUCUAAAUGCGUUAAGUGAAUUAAUUCAAGGAGCUUCAACACCUUCUAUAUUGCCUGUAUGGGAAAGACAUCUCCUAAGUGCUAGAUCAUCACCAAGUAUUACAUGUAUUCAUCAUGAGUUUGAUGAGGAAAUUGAAUCAAAAAUUGCGUGGGAAUCUAUGGAAGAUAAGUUGAUACAACAAUCAUUUUUCUUUGGAAAUGAGGAGAUGGAAGUCAUUAAAAAUCAAGUUCCUCCAAAUUAUGAAUGUACAAAAUUCGAGUUAUUAAUGGCAUUUUUAUGGAAAUGUCGUACCAUUGCUCUUAAUUUGCACUCUGAUGAAAUUGUUCGUUUGACAUACGUUAUUAAUAUACGUGGAAAAAAGUCACUCAACAUUGAAUUACCAAUUGGUUAUUAUGGGAAUGCGUUUAUUACUCCAGUUGUUGUAUCAAAAGCAGGUUUGUUAUGUUCAAAUCCAGUGACAUAUGCAGUUGAAUUGAUCAAGAAAGUUAAAGAUCAUAUAAAUGAAGAAUACAUCAAAUCAUUGAUAGAUUU
rnacentral:misc_RNA from 1 species